rnacentral:rRNA from 2 species
AGUGGCGGACGGGUGAGUAAUGUCUGGGAAACUGCCUGAUGGAGGGGGAUAACUACUGGAAACGGUGGCUAAUACCGCAUAACGUCGCAAGACCAAAGAGGGGGACCUUCGGGCCUCUUGCCAUCAGAUGUGCCCAGAUGGGAUUAGCUUGUUGGUGAGGUAACGGCUCACCAAGGCGACGAUCCCUAGCUGGUCUGAGAGGAUGACCAGCCACACUGGAACUGAGACACGGUCCAGACUCCUACGGGAGGCAGCAGUGGGGAAUAUUGCACAAUGGGCGCAAGCCUGAUGCAGCCAUGCCGCGUGUAUGAAGAAGGCCUUCGGGUUGUAAAGUACUUUCAGCGGGGAGGAAGGUGUUGUGGUUAAUAACCGCAGCAAUUGACGUUACCCGCAGAAGAAGCACCGGCUAACUCCGUGCCAGCAGCCGCGGUAAUACGGAGGGUGCAAGCGUUAAUCGGAAUUACUGGGCGUAAAGCGCACGCAGGCGGUCUGUCAAGUCGGAUGUGAAAUCCCCGGGCUCAACCUGGGAACUGCAUUCGAAACUGGCAGGCUUGAGUCUUGUAGAGGGGGGUAGAAUUCCAGGUGUAGCGGUGAAAUGCGUAGAGAUCUGGAGGAAUACCGGUGGCGAAGGCGGCCCCCUGGACAAAGACUGACGCUCAGGUGCGAAAGCGUGGG